rnacentral:snRNA from 1 species
AAUCCCUAAUAUUUCUGCAGAACGAGUAAAUCUUUCGCCUUUUACUAAAGAUUUCCGUGUAGAAUUAUUAUAAUAUUGGGAAUAUAGGAAUUUUUGGAAUUUUUGGAAUUUUCUUCAAAAAG